CUCUACAAUACAGCAAGUAGUAAUUACAAAAUAUAAGACUUCUAUGUCACUGCCUAACCAGUCCACAUUCCAGAUGCUGAAAGGCUUGUUUCUUGUGAGAUGGACCAUAUUGGAGAAGUGAGGCAACUUGAACUGAAUGACUUUGGUCACCCUUGGUCAGACUCAGAGG